UCCCUGGAGGAUUAGUGGUUAGGCUUCACCGCUCUCACCACCGCGGCCUGGGUUUGAAUCCCGGCCAGGGAA
rnacentral:tRNA from 1 species